rnacentral:rRNA from 1 species
GCAUCCAGCUUACCAUGCAGUCGAGGGGAACGGCAUUGAGUGCUUGCACUCUUUGGACGUCGACCGGCGCACGGGUGAGUAACGCGUAUCCAACCUUCCCAUUACUGUGGGAUAACCUGCCGAAAGGCAGACUAAUACCGCAUAGUCUUCGAUGACGGCAUCAGAUUUGAAGUAAAGAUUUAUCGGUAAUGGAUGGGGAUGCGUCUGAUUAGCUUGUUGGCGGGGUAACGGCCCACCAAGGCAACGAUCAGUAGGGGUUCUGAGAGGAAGGUCCCCCACAUUGGAACUGAGACACGGUCCAAACUCCUACGGGAGGCAGCAGUGAGGAAUAUUGGUCAAUGGACGGAAGUCUGAACCAGCCAAGUAGCGUGCAGGAUGACGGCCCUAUGGGUUGUAAACUGCUUUUGUAUGGGGAUAAAGUUAGGGACGUGUCCCUAUUUGCAGGUACCAUACGAAUAAGGACCGGCUAAUUCCGUGCCAGCAGCCGCGGUAAUACGGAAGGUCCAGGCGUUAUCCGGAUUUAUUGGGUUUAAAGGGAGCGUAGGCUGGAGAUUAAGUGUGUUGUGAAAUGUAGACGCUCAACGUCUGAAUUGCAGCGCAUACUGGUUUCCUUGAGUACGCACAACGUUGGCGGAAUUCGUCGUGUAGCGGUGAAAUGCUUAGAUAUGACGAAGAACUCCGAUUGCGAAGGCAGCUGACGGGAGCGCAACUGACGCUUAAGCUCGAAGUGCGGGUAUCAAACAGGAUUAGAUACCCUGGUAGUCCGCACAGUAAACGAUGGAUGCCCGCUGUUGGUACCUGGUAUCAGCGGCUAAGCGAAAGCAUUAAGCAUCCCACCUGGGGAGUACGCCGGCAACGGUGAAACUCAAAGGAAUUGACGGAA